GUGAAGGACCUCACCACUCUGCUGCUCUUCCCCGAUGACGCAGCCUGGAUGAACGGCACAAUCGCCCGGAGUCUGGCGAUUGGAGGUGAAGGACCUCGCCCCUGGACAGCCCUGCAGCCCUGCAGUGACUGGCGACUGGAGGUGAAGGACCUUGCCCCUGGAUGGCAACACCGCUACGGAGUUUGCUGGCGCCUCGUUCUGCAGCCCCUACCCGAGCUGUUGACCCUGGCGUCUCCCAGAGGUACUGCCGGUCCCCGAGCACCUGGAGCCGCCCACCUCCACAACUAGCUACUGUAGAUUAGGUGAUCUUGAAGUCACUUGGUCUCCAUGAUACAACAUUGGUUGUUUUUGGUUGGCUCGCACGAUGGGGCAGUAGCGUGUGCUCAUUGACCGUCGUUCGCAACGCUGGCUGACUACAUAUUCAAGGAAGGUAAUACGUGUGCAAUCAGCGUGUGUGUUGUGAUGAAUGGACAGGUCAUCUUGAUUUUGUUAGCUUCAGCUGCACUAAUUUCGGAGUAGAAAUCUUGAUGUGUGUGUGUAUGCACGAGUUUGUGGCGGCUGUUCGGUGGUGGAGGAAGGUUUGUUUUCGUCUUCAUCGUGGAGGUCUACUUCAUUCUUGACUGGCUAAACAAUGGGUUCAAGAAUAGUAGGACAAGGGUGGAAUUCUCAGCAUCCACGUCCGCUCGCAGAGCAGCAGAUUCGAUUUGGGAUUUUUCUUAGUUGCAGGUUGGACUUCUAAAUUAAUCACUUUGUUAAUUGUUUCUCCUGACUUUUCUUCUCUCCACCAAUUACUUGAAGAACCAAUUUAUACAUUAUUCUGUGGCAGCAGCUAACACAUUGGGUCUAAGUGAAUUUUUUUGUUGGGGUGAGAGCUUGGUUUCUUCUUCGUGGUUGGUACCUAAGACCACAUAGUGGAUGAUUCAUCACCGAGCUUAGUGCCUUAGUCACUGCAACCUGAACAAGGUUGGGUGAGCAUAUGGUUCCAUUUACUUCACUGAUUAAUUUAUAGUAACUGUUAUGUAUGAUCACAACACAUGAUUGGUUUUACUGCAUUUGCAGAGGACUCAAACAAUAAGGAGGUAGAGUAAUGAGAGAACAAGAUACCGCCAUGUCAUAGUAGUUGAUCUGGAGCUAUAUCCUAGCCGCGAAGGAUUUAUUGUUUGUAUUUUGCUUUGGUAAUUUCUUCUUGGCACUUCAAAGUUGGUAUCAGGAAUAUGAUGAUUCAUCACAGAGAAACUUUACAAAGUGUGUGAGAAUCUACCUUAAUUCAUUUUGUAUGGUAGCAGAUCGAUCCUACAUGAACAAAUGAACAAUCCAUCUUAGCCGAGAUUUUUUAUACAAGGAGCAGUCUAAUAAGGUCAGCUUCGUGGUGGCAUGGUUAGGACGGUGGCACCACAAAUUCUCGCCUCGAGCUACCUACUCUACUCUUCUCCCAUGUCCUUGGGUGAGUACAGUCGAUGAUCAAUGCACACCUCUACUUAUUCCCCUGUUUGAUUAUAUGAGCUUGUGAUGAAUAUGCAUCGUUUAUCUCAACUAGGUUGCCAUCCAGUUAAUUUAAUUUAGCACUUCAGUAAUCAUUUUACUUUGGAAAUUCUGUUACACGUGUGUCUCCUUCUCUCUUUCUUAUUUUGACAUGUAAUUAGUUCAGCUUAAAAAAAUUUGCACUCAUAUGCGCAAUUGACCUAUUAAGAUAAAUGAUUUUCAUCGUUUGACAUGGUACUCCCUUGAAUAAGGUUUACUUAAUUUUUUACUCCUUACUGAAAACGCACCAUUAGUUAGCAUUAGCCUCCUAUAUUUUGUUUGUUUGAGAAACUAGCACACAUAAUACUUAAUGAAGUUCUCAGGUUAAUUUUCCCUUGACAUAUAUAGUGCACCACCAUGACAAAAGACCCGAUUUUCUUAUUACGUGCAUAAUUGAUUUAGUUGGAUUUACCCCGAAUAACAAUGACUGAAGCUAGCUACCGAGAAAGCUGAUUUGGGAGGUAUUUAUAUUUGUGCUAUGUAAAGCUUGUCUCGGUUGAUUCAAGAGGUAAUAAUUUUAGCUGGAUGGUGGCUUACAUUUCCACUUCAUUAAAGAGAUGUUCUGAUUUAGGGCUAGCUGGUUAGGAAAAUAAUAAGUAUCAUGGUGUUUCUCCCCCUAAUGUAGUUCUCCCCUUCGUCGAUGACAGAGAUGUUCCGCUGCUGGUGACAGCCAAGUUGAAGAGGCAGAUCAAGAGAAUCAGAGCCCUCCAUCGAUUCAGUCCAAAGAAGUGAGGGUGACUUUAAAAUUCAUUGCUUUGGAUUUGACUUGCGUGUGUGCUGUGGACCCGCUGUGUUCUUGUUGUAUGUGUGUCUCUGUCUAUUGGUUGCAUAUACAACACGAGCCACUUGUAGUAAAUGUCUUGGUUUUUCCAGUUCUUCCUCCCGUAGAUUUCUCAUAUUGUUUGUUCCACCUGGUCUUUGUAGAUACUCUCUACUUUCUGGUUGUUGCACUGAUACUUCUCUUCUGUUUAAUUUACGUGUUUCAUGUAUUCUUUUUUGAGGUUUCUACCCUCCCAGCGUCAUCUGUUCGACCAUCUCUAACUUGUCGGAGAGGCCGAUGGAUAAUGAAUUGCUGGUUCGAUUAUUUUGUUGGUCUAUAAGUUGGUUGCUAUGCUGGGAGGCAUUUUUUUGCAGAUUUUUUUGCACUGCCAUCAUUUAUAUAGUUUAAAUGGUGACAUUAUUACA